rnacentral:rRNA from 1 species
AGUUUGAUCAUGGCUCAGAUUGAACGCUGGCGGCAGGCUUAACACAUGCAAGUCGAGCGGGGAAAAGUAGCUUGCUACUUUACCUAGCGGCGGACGGGUGAGUAAUGCUUAGGAAUCUGCCUAUUAGUGGGGGACAACAUCUCGAAAGGGAUGCUAAUACCGCAUACGUCCUACGGGAGAAAGCAGGGGACCUUCGGGCCUUGCGCUAAUAGAUGAGCCUAAGUCGGAUUAGCUAGUUGGUGGGGUAAAGGCCUACCAAGGCGACGAUCUGUAGCGGGUCUGAGAGGAUGAUCCGCCACACUGGGACUGAGACACGGCCCAGACUCCUACGGGAGGCAGCAGUGGGGAAUAUUGGACAAUGGGGGGAACCCUGAUCCAGCCAUGCCGCGUGUGUGAAGAAGGCCUUUUGGUUGUAAAGCACUUUAAGCGAGGAGGAGGCUACCGAGAUUAAUACUCUUGGAUAGUGGACGUUACUCGCAGAAUAAGCACCGGCUAACUCUGUGCCAGCAGCCGCGGUAAUACAGAGGGUGCAAGCGUUAAUCGGAUUUACUGGGCGUAAAGCGCGCGUAGGUGGCCAAUUAAGUCAAAUGUGAAAUCCCCGAGCUUAACUUGGGAAUUGCAUUCGAUACUGGUUGGCUAGAGUAUGGGAGAGGAUGGUAGAAUUCCAGGUGUAGCGGUGAAAUGCGUAGAGAUCUGGAGGAAUACCGAUGGCGAAGGCAGCCAUCUGGCCUAAUACUGACACUGAGGUGCGAAAGCAUGGGGAGCAAACAGGAUUAGAUACCCCGGUAGU